UUCAAGUUUCAGUUCGAGGGCAAUCCAGAGCUUAACCCAUCAUCAGGGUGAUGGUAAUGCGCUAACGGCAUAAACACACUACUGGGCCUCGGCCUCCGGCGACGACGCGAACACCUUGGCGAUGCGCUCGGUGGGGAUGGCCGGGAGGUACUUGGCCCCGGUGUAGCCCUGCUCGGCCGCGGCGGCGAUCACCUUGUUGUACUUCUCGGCCCAGUACGCCGCGGUGGGCACCGCGAUCUGAGCGACCUGCGGGAACACCGGGAGGCCGUUGAGCGUGCGCCAGGUGGAGACGGCGAGGUGCUCCGCCGCCGGCUCGUAGCGCACGUACAGGUCCCUGGCCACCGGCUCCACGCGCCCGUACACGUCCUUGGCCACGGGCUCCACCUUGGCGAGCGCCGCGCGGGCCGCGCCCUUCACGCCGGAUCGCUGCGCCUCGGCGGCCAGCUCGCGCGCCACCUCCGGGAUGCCGCGGGCCACCG
rnacentral:lncRNA from 1 species